GUGAGGAAUAUUGAGCAAUGGGCGCAAGCCUGACUCAGCAACGCCGCGUGGGCGAUGAAGGCCUUCGGGUUGUAAAGCCCUUUUCCAGGGGACGAGGAAGGACGGUACCCUGGGAAUAAGGUUCGGCUAACUACGUGCCAGCAGCCGCGGUAAUACGUAGGAACCGAGCGUUAUCCGGAUUCACUGGGCGUAAAGCGCGUGUAGGCGGUUCUACAAGUCGGGUGUGAAAGCUCUUGGCUUAACUGAGAGAGGUCGCUCGAUACUGUAGGGCUUGAGGUCGGGAGAGGGACGUGGAAUUCCCGGUGUAGUGGUGGAAUGCGUAGAGAUCGGGAGGAACAUCAGUGGCGAAGGCGACGUCCUGGCCCGCACCUGACGCUCAGACGCGAAAGCGUGGGUAGCGAACGGGAUUAGAAACCCUGGUAGUCC
rnacentral:rRNA from 1 species